rnacentral:rRNA from 1 species
GAGUUUGAUCUUGGCUCAGGAUGAACGCUAGCGGCAGGCUUAAUACAUGCAAGUCGAGGGGCAGCAUAAGUAGCAAUACUUGAUGGCGACCGGCAAACGGGUGCGGAACACGUACGCAACCUUCCUUUAAGUGGAGAAUAGCCCGGGGAAACCCGGAUUAAUACUCCGUAACAUUAUGAAGUGGCAUCACUUUAUAAUUAUAGAUUUAUCGCUUAAAGAUGGGCGUGCGCCUGAUUAGGCAGUUGGCGGGGUAACGGCCCACCAAACCUACGAUCAGUAACUGGCGUGAGAGCGCGACCAGUCACACGGGCACUGAGACACGGGCCCGACUCCUACGGGAGGCAGCAGUAAGGAAUAUUGGUCAAUGGACGCAAGUCUAGAACCAGCCAUGCCGCGUGGAGGAUGAAGGUCCUCUGGAUUGUAAACUUCUUUUAUUUGGGAAGAAAUGUGAGAAUUCUUUUUCACUUGACGGUACCAGAUGAAUAAGCACCGGCUAACUCCGUGCCAGCCGCCGCGGUAA